GAUGAACGCUGGCGGCGUGCCUAAUACAUGCAAGUCGAGCGAACAGACGAGGAGCUUGCUCCUCUGACGUUAGCGGCGGACGGGUGAGUAACACGUGGAUAACCUACCUAUAAGACUGGGAUAACUUCGGGAAACCGGAGCUAAUACCGGAUAAUAUAUUUAACCGCAUGGUUCAAUAGUGAAAGACGGUUUUGCUGUCACUUAUAGAUGGAUCCGCGCCGCAUUAGCUAGUUGGUAAGGUAACGGCUUACCAAGGCAACGAUGCGUAGCCGACCUGAGGGGGUGAUCGGCCACACUGGAACUGAGACACGGUCCAGACUCCUACGGGAGGCAGCAGUAGGGAAUCUUCCGCAAUGGGCGAAAGCCUGACGGAGCAACGCCGCGUGAGUGAUGAAGGUCUUCGGAUCGUAAAACUCUGUUAUUAGGGAAGAACAAAUGUGUAAGUAACUAUGCACGUCUUGACGGUACCUAAUCAGAAAGCCACGGCUAACUACGUG
rnacentral:rRNA from 1 species